UUAUUCCCAUCUUGCCACAAGCAGGGAGUGUUUUCUCAAUCCUUACCCUUAUCAAAUGGAAUUUCCCUUCUUCCCAGCAAACCUCUAUUAAAUCAGUGGUAAAUCUGGGCAGCGCUGCCCCUCUGCAUGCCUUGAACCAGGAACAGACCCGCUGCAGGACGGAUAUCCAUCUGAGC